CGUAGGUGGCAAGCGUUGUCCGGAAUUAUUGGGCGUAAAGGGUGCGUAGGCGGUCUUUUAAGUGGGAUGUGAAAUCCCUGGGCUUAACUCAGGAUGUGCAUUCCAAACUGGAAGACUAGAGUGCAGGAGAGGAAGUGGAAUUCCCAGUGUAGCGGUGAAAUGCGUAGAGAUUGGGAGGAACACCAGUGGCGAAGGCGACUUUCUGGACUGUAACUGACGCUGAGGCACGAAAGCGUGGGGGAGCAAACAGGAUU
rnacentral:rRNA from 1 species